GACGAACGCUGGCGGCGUGCUUAACACAUGCAAGUCGAACGAGACGAUUGAAAGCUUGCUUUUAAAAGUCGAGUGGCAAACGGGUGAGUAACGCGUAGACAACCUGCCUUUGAGAUGGGGACAACAGUUCGAAAGGACUGCUAAUACCGAAUGUUGUAUAUUUUCCACAUGGAAGAUAUAUUAAAGAUGGCCUCUAUUUAUAAGCUAUCGCUCAAAGAUGGGUCUGCGUCUGAUUAGCUGGUUGGCGGGGUAACGGCCUACCAAGGCGACGAUCAGUAGCUGGUCUGAGAGGAGGAACGGCCACAUUGGGACUGAGACACGGACCAGACUCAUACGGGAGGCAGCAGUGGGGAAUCUUCCACAAUGGACGAAAGUCUGAUGGAGCAACGCCGCGUGAGUGAAGAAGGUUUUCGGCUCGUAAAGCUCUGUUUUCGGGGACGAAUGUGCAGUAUUUGAAUAAAGUACUGCAAUGACGGUACCUGACGAGGAAGCCACGGCUAACUACGUGCCAGCCGCCGCCGUAA
rnacentral:rRNA from 1 species